CCACAUGUUAGUGAGAACAGCCUGCCAACUGACCACAUGUUAGUGAGAACAGCCUACCAACUGACACAGAUGUUAGUGAGAACAGUCUGCCAACUGACACACAUGUUAGGGAGUACAGCCUACCAACUGACCGUAUAAAUAGUGUACGACCAGAAUACUUGACACCGGCACCAUCCCGAAAGGACCAGCUGUGUUGAAGCAGGUUUGUGGCUAUAUCGUUACCUUGGGGGACCCCGGUAGGAAGCCGUCCGGACAGCGGGAGCGGCUCAGGGACUGUUAACGGGACAUCGGUCCCUGGAGGUGAGACAUCGGUCCCUGGAGCAGGGACAUCGGUCCCUGGAGCAGGGACAUCGGUCCCUGGAGGUUGUGUUAUCGUGUACCCGGGGGUUGACGUGAUUUCUGAAAGCUCGUACUCUGUCGUUGAUGAAUUGAGAAGUUCUUCUUUAGAAUUUCCGUCAAUGUUCAACUCGACACUGGAGUUGUAACUUGAAGAAU